rnacentral:tRNA from 1 species
CCUUCGAUAGCUCAGUUGGUAGAGCGGUGGACUGUAGAGAAACCGGAGGUCGAUCAUCCUCGAAAUGCAUCUCAAAGUGCAUCUGAUGAUCACCUUCAUCCAAUAGAAAUCCAUAGGUCACUGGUUCAAAUCCGGUUCGAAGGA